AGAAAAAACAGCUGGGCCCAGGAGACCACUACCACCCAGAUGCGGAGACCGGUAGUGGCCCCGAAUGCCAGGCUGCACUGACAUUUCUUGGAUACAAGACAAAGGGGCAGGGUAAGGAGUGUGAACCACCUCCAGUCAUAGCUGAAACAGAACCGCAUGAGGGAAAGAGGAAAGUGGAAUCCCUGUGGCCCAUCUUCAGGAUCCACCACCAGAAAACCCGCUACAUCUUCGACCUCUUUUACAAGCGGAAAGCCAUCAGCAGAGAACUCUAUGAAUAUUGUAUUAAAGAAGGCUAUGCAGACAAAAACCUGAUUGCAAAAUGGAAAAAGCAAGGGUAUGAGAACUUGUGCUGCCUGCGGUGCAUUCAGACACGGGACACCAACUUCGGGACGAACUGCAUCUGCCGCGUGCCCAAAAGCAAACUGGAAGUGGGCCGCAUCAUCGAGUGCACACACUGUGGCUGCCGUGGCUGCUCUGGCUGAGGCUGACGCUCUGCACCGUGGACUCUGGACUUCACAGGUUUCUGCCUGUGACGCCACCCCCUUCCUGGGAGCAGCGAGCAGUGCCCCAGGCCCGAGUUGGAGCACGGUCUCUACGGGGAAGGCUUCGCUGUCCAUC
rnacentral:sRNA from 1 species